rnacentral:rRNA from 1 species
UACAGAGGGUGCGAGCGUUUGUUCGGAAUUAUUGGGCGUAAAGCGCUGGUAGGUGGCUUGUUAAGUCGCGUGUGAAAGCUUCCGGCUCAACCGGAAAAGUGCGCGCGAAAACUGGCGAGCUUGAGUGCCGGAGAGGGUCGCGGAAUUCCCGGUGUAGAGGUGAAAUUUCGUAGAUAUCGGGAGGAACACCAGAGGCGAAGGCGGCGCCUGGAAGGUAACUGACACUGAGCAGCGAAAAGCGUGGGGGAGCAAACAGG